rnacentral:tRNA from 1 species
CCCUCGAUAGCUCAGUUAGCAGAGCGGAGGACUGUAGAUGUUACAACGGUGAUCCUUAGGUCGCUGGUUCAAAUCCGGCUUGAGGGA